ACAGCCUUCAAUGGCACCAAAUCCAGGCCACAGUGGGGGCGGGGGCAGUGCCAACCCCCGCAUAGCCUCAGCGGUUUCUAGGUGGCCGGGCAGCGGGCCUCCUGAGGCCAAUGCCGAACCUUCCUAGAGGAUGGUGCUUCUGCAGCAGAAACUCCCAGUCCCUUGGGAGCUGCCCAGGCAGCGGUGGGGGAUGCAAGGGCGUCAGGCCUGGGACUGCUGCUGCCCACAUGCCCUGCUCCAGCCUCACCUGGCCAGCUGUUUAAAGAGGGCACCGCAGCAUCCCACCAACGGCUGCAGGUGACGACACCGUCACCAGAGACACACGCAGAUGCUCAGCGUCUGGCUCUUGCCUGUUGGAGGCUUGGCAGAUCUUGGACCUCCCGGAAGGAUGAGGGUUCCUCCAGGAGCCCCCUGCCAUGCCGCCGCCGGGCCUGGCUUGUCCACUCCACCCCAACCAAGCCAGAGCUGAGCUACGGGGUCAGACACAGUCCAGGAGGGGCCUGGCCUCGGGCCAGUCAGGGCAGCCAGUGCUGCGGGGUGGGUGGUCCCUGAGCAGAAGAAGCGCCAGGGUAUGCAGAUGGCAGCCAGAGCCCCUCUGUGCCCUGGAGGGUAGCGGGGUCCUGGGUGAAGACCCUGGAGGGUAGCGGGGCCUUGGGUGAAGGCCCUGGAGGUUAUCGGGGUCCUGGGUGAAGGCCCUGGAGGGUAGCGGGGUCCUGGGUGAAGGCCCUGGAGGGUAGCGGGGUCCUGGGUGAAGGCCCUGGAGGGUAGCGGGGUCCUGGGUGAAGGCCCGCAGAACCAGAGAGCAGGAAGCAGCUCUCAGUCUCACGGCUGGGGGAGGGGGAGGGUGGUCAUCCUGAGCCUCAGCUCCGAGGCCUCCUCCCGCAGCUCCUGAGCGGCGCCUAAUUGGGCUCCGCUGCCCUGAGCCCCGCCGGCCUCCCGGGCCCGGCAGGGAGGUCUGUGGGCUUUGGUGUUUGUUGGGGACCGGCAGGAACUUCUGGACGUGGGAGUCGUCCCGGCGUCUGCGUCUCACCUGCAGUGAUGAGCUUUGCCCCAGGUGGAGGGCGUGAUGUCAGCCCUGUGUCCUGGCGCCUCAGUUAUGUUGGACGAGGGUGCAGUUCUGAAGAUCACGCCCUGCAUCUUCCAGAGCUGGUGAGCAGUUUCUGGAUGCCGCGUGGAAAUGGCUCCAGAGCCCUCCGUGAGCCACAAGGAACGGCCUCCUCAUCGUGUCCUCUGCCUCUCUGUGCCAGUCCCGUGUGCCCAGCACACACUGGCACAGCUUCUUCCAGAGGACCCUGCAAUGAUAUUGGAAGUCAGAGGGGGUUCCGGGCUGCACGAUCAGGUCCGUGGUCCAGGCCAUGGCUUGGUGGCAGGAUCAGGUCCGUGGUCCAGGCCAUGGCUUAGUGGCAGGAUCAGGUCUGUGGUCCAGGCCAUGAUGGGGGCACUCUCGUCCUCUUACUUCCAACUCCUCUCUGGCCGUCUACCCAUUCUCUGCCCCCCUCAGCCCCCACCACCCAUUCCUACCAGACAUUUCCCUCUGCUGGAUGCAGCUGCCUGAACUGUGGCUCCCGGCUGGAGCGAGGAACCUGGUUCCCCCUCCCCGCCCAGGCCGGACCUACCCCAGACGCUGUCAGAAUCCGCCCUGUUCUGGGGCUGUCUCCAGUCAGGGCUGCGUGCAGAGGUGGCAGGAGCAGGGUCUUCAGGGCGUUGGCUCUCGUUUUCCCUAAAACAAUUUUGAAAAGCUGCCGAACCACUCACAUGUUGAAGUCAACAUCUACAUUUCUUUAAAAAUCCAAAAAUGUAAAUAAUUGCAAAUAAUGUCAUUUCUGGUGUAAUGUAAAUACUCACAUGUUGAAAUAAAACUGUUAGUCACGCUUGUAAACGUAUCCAGGAAGCUAAAUGCCAACAUGGUCUGAUACUGGCUGCCAGUCGUGUGAAGAAGACGAAGCGCAUUCUCCAGCGGGCCGAGAUCUUCGGGCUGACAUUUUUCCUUCGACGCAUCGUGGCCACCUGGUUGCUGCCCAGAUUGUAUCUGAUUAUGAACUAUUUUUAUGCCUGAAUUUCUGUUGGCUCCUCAUCACACUUUGCGACAAAUACACAUGUAAAUUUUAAUAAAUCAGUAUUUAAUAAAGAAAAAUUUUUUAA